rnacentral:misc_RNA from 1 species
AAGUCGUAACAAGGUAACCGUAGGAGAACCUGCGGUUGGAUCACCUCCUUUCUAGAGUAUAGGGGCACUAUCUCACAAUGGUGCUCCGGCGAGCAUAGCUAGGGAAGCUUAUUUAGUUUUGAGAGAUUGAAUGAAAAAGGGGCUUAUAGCUCAGGUGGUUAGAGCGUACCCCUGAUAAGGGUAAGGUCAGAGGUUCGAGUCCUCUUAAGCCCACCAUGGGGAAUUAGCUCAGCUGGGAGAGCGCCUGCUUUGCACGCAGGAGGUCAGCGGUUCGAUCCCGCUAUUCUCCACCAUUUUUUAGAGAAAUGGUGAAAGAUUGCCAAGAGACAUUGUUAGUGAGAAUGAAGACACAAUGUCUAAUAUAAGAACAAUUUAGGUUGUUUUUAUAUUAGACUUUUUAGUCUAAGUUUAUGUUCUACAAUUUAGAAUACGACGCUUUGUGUUGUGCUGUAGGUUUGGUUCUUUAAGAUAGCUUUGCUAUCUGGUGAAAGAACAUAAAGAUGUUAUUUAAUUUAUUAUUGUCAAAGUCAACAAAACGCAAAAAAAACAAUUUACAACUUGUUAGAUGUUUUACAUUUAAUAAGGGAGUGAAAUGUGCAUUAGAAUACAAAUAGGUAAGCUAUUAAGAGCGAAUGGUGGAUGCCUAGGCUGUAAGAGGCGAUGAAGGACGUACUAGACUGCGAUAAGUUACGGGGAGCUGUCAAGAAGCUUUGAUCCGUAAAUUUCCGAAUGGGGCAACCCA